UCUUAUAAAUGUUCUUAUUUUUGUUUACCUCUUUUAAAAGCUAGUCCUGUGCCAGGCGGUGGGUGGUGCGUACACCUUUAGUCUCAGCGCUUGCUAGAUCGAGGCAGCCAGAUCUCUGAGUUUGAGGCCAGGUUGGUCAGCAUAGCAAGUUCUAGAGCAACCGUAGUUAUAUAUCUGAAUGAAUAAAUGAAUGAAUGAUAAAAAUCCUACUAAUCAAUACACAUGAAAAUACACUUAAGUAUCAGGCCAUUAUUUACAAGCUGUUAGAACUUAGAAUCUAAUUAUUUAUACAUGGUUUCAAAGCAAUAAAAGAAUAUUUAAACCAAAUGACUACAAAAAAACAACCCUGUACUAGCCUUACUAGCCUUACCUGGGCUGAGACUGACUCAGGCUCUCAGACAACUUCAGUUGUGAGAAUACCUAAUGAAAUUCAUCUGUGAAGAAUAGAGUUAAUUCACAAGGCAAGGGGGUAUAUUAAGUAUAAACACAACUUGUUGGGAUAGCCCUGAAGGCAGGACGGUGUGCAGUCCUGGGACGUACUCUGAGGCCUUCGCUGUUUCGAGUUGCAUUUUUCUAAUCUGGUGUAUGAUGUGUUGCCUUUAUUAUGUGAGUGAAGGCGUGUAAGUGUCAUCCGUGCGUGUUGAGGUCAGAGGACAACUUUGGGCAUCAGCUCUUGCCCUUCAUUUGAGACAGGGCCUUAUAACUGCUCCUCUGCACACCUCAGGCUUGCUGGCCUGAAGUUUCUUCCCACCUCCCUGCUCCCAUCAAGAGCACUGACAGUGUUUACUGACAUGUGCUGCCCCUGAGCCAGCCUUACCUCCAACCCUGUACUAGCCUUACCUGGGCUGGGACUCUGACUCAGGCUCUCAGACACCUGCAGCAAGUGCUUUACCCUCCAAGCCACCUCCCAGCGUGUGCCUGUUGCAGAUAUUUAAAACUGUCUGUCAUUUCAGGGUUGAGAUGUGACAUUGACAUUUCCUUGGCUUAUAGGCAAGCGGUACUUAUUGCUUUGUUGGUUAAACUGGGCGUUAUUUCAGAAAAGCGUACCUGGGAAUGGCAAAGUGCAGAAGCUGUGGCCACGGGCCUGCAGGUAUGUAGUGCCACCUCUGAACUCGGGGAAUAUUAUUGUUUGUUAAUACAUUUGAUGCAGUAUUGCCCCUGAACAACAUGCAAACAGUGGGGCAAGACUGUUAGCCAACUCUGCAGUGCAGAAACCCUACAGAAGUGAGCUAUAGAUACUUACUGUUAAUUAUUUUAUUCUUGGUCCACUUAGACCUUUCAGUCCUUGGGUAGCAUUAAGAAAUACUUGGACGGGCAGUGGUGAUGCACGCCUUUAAUUCUAGCACUUGGAAAGCAGAGGCAGGUGGAUUUCUGAGUUCAAGGCCAACCUGGUUUACAGAGUGAAUUCCAGGACACCCAGGGCUAUACAGAGAAACCCUGCCCCCCCCCCC
rnacentral:lncRNA from 1 species